rnacentral:rRNA from 1 species
AUGGCAGCCGCCGGCCACCUCAUGCUCCUGUCCUGCGUGCUCCUCCACGCCCUCCUGGCCAGCCCCGCGGAGGGCCUGGUUCAGGUGGCGCUGACGAAGCGGCCCGUGGACGAGGACGGCCCUGUCGUCGCCGGAGAGGACGCACAGCGCCUCCUCGCGUGGCGGCACGGCCUCGUCUACAACGCCGACGCCGCGCCCACAACAGGAGGUGCAGAGGGCCACGCCGUGGCGCUGAAGAACCACCUCAACGCCCGGUACUACGGCGAGGUCGGCGUCGGGACGCCGCCGCAGAACUUCACCGUCAUCUUCGACACGGGCAGCGCCGACUUCUGGGUGCCCUCCUCCAAGUGCUUCCUCUCGAUUGGAUGCUAUCUGCACGCGAGCUACAAGGCCAGCAAGUCCGCCACGUACAAGAAGAACGGAAAAAGGGUCGCACUUCGUUACGAAACAGGUGCAAUUUCUGGCUAUCUUAGCCAGGACAAUGUGCAAGUUGGUGGUGUAGUUGUAAAAAAUCAGGAUUUCAUUGAAGCUACCAGGGAACCAAGUAUUACUUUCAUGUUUAGGAAGUUCGAUGGCAUUCUCGGUCUUGGAUUUAAAGAAAUCGCUAGGGGCGGUGCUGAACCUGUCUGGUACAACAUGGUUAACCAACAUCUGGUUGGUAGCCCUGUUUUCUCGUUCUGGUUCAACCGGCAUGCUGGUGAAGGGCAGGGGGGAGAAAUUGUGUUUGGAGGAAUCGAUCCUAAGCAUCACAAGGAAGAACAUAAAUACGUUCCUGUUACUAAGAAGGGAUACUGGCAGUUUGAUAUGGGUGAUGUCUUGAUUGGAGGAAAGUCCACAGGAUUAUGUACAUCUCGCUGUGCAGCUAUAGCAGAUUCGGGAACUUCGUUGCUUGUUGGUCCCACUGCAAUAAUUACUCAGAUAAAUGAAAAGAUUGGUGCACCUGGGAUUUUCAGCCAAGAGUGCAAGGAAGUUGCUUCUCAGUACGGGCAACGGAUCUUAGAUCUAUUGCUAAAUGAGAUCGACCCAACAAAAAUAUGUCCUUCUGUUGGUCUAUGCACUCACGGUGGAACUCCAGGUGUAAGCUUUGGUAUUCGGACUGUGGUAGAUGAUGAAACCGGGAGAUCAAAUGAUGCCAUGUGCCAUGUUUGUGAGAUGGCUGUUAUGUGGGCAAAGAACCAACUUGCACAGGAUCAAACACGGGAUCUUAUAUUGAAGUACAUUAAUACGCUAUGUGGCUAUAUCCCUAGCCCUAUGGGAGAAUCAUCAGUGGACUGCAAAAGACUUGCAUCCAUGCCUGACGUCGCCUUCUCCAUCGGCAGCAAAAAGUUUGCACUCACACCAGAGCAAUACAUCCUGAAGAUUGGCGAGGGAGAUGCUACUAAGUGCAUCAGUGGAUUCGUAGCUAUGGACAUUCCUCCUCCCCGUGGUCCUAUCUGGAUCUUGGGUGAUAUAUUCAUGGGGGCCUAUCACACUGUCUUUGACUAUGGUAAAAUGAAGGUUGGCUUCGCGAAGGCGGCAUAG